AAGCCCCAUCCAGGCUUAAUAUACAUUUCUCAUAAGUGAAAUCAUGUGUAAUUAUUAGUCAAAUCCAUUUCACCUACUGUCGGUAAUCAAGGCUGUAAUCAAGUCUUUCAGUUCCUCUGAGUAUGGAGCCUAAACAAUAAGGUGUUUGCCUGAAUUGUUUCCCAGGAGCAUGGAGUCAGCUGUGCCUAGUUCAAGCUGAGCUGGUUGAGACUGGAUGGGAACCCAGACCCUACAACUGGGCCUGUGCCAGUGUCCACUUCGUGACCUCUAGACCAUGCAGAGGCCUGUAGACCAGGCCACAGAACUGCAUAACCAAAUAUCCAUGACCAAGUGGAAGAGUAUUCUGUCAAAUAAGAACAUGUAUUGUUGAGGAUCAACUCUCCUCAGGCCUCCUGUGUUUCUACACUGACUGCUCUCUGCUCUGGGCGAUCCUUGAGGGAGGUCCACCCAUUGUAACAACCAGCACCUAGAUUUGCCCUGGGUAGGCAGAAGAGUCUCCCCCUUCAAAUAAAAGUCACGAGAGCUGCACCUACACAAUGUAUGAAAGGAAGGAAACUCAUGACUGCUGCAGGCAGAACCCAGGAACGGAAGUGCACAGGGACAUUAAGUGCCUUGCUCUUACCUAGUCCUGAGUCUCCAGCCCCUUCCAGACAACUCCACCCAGGAUCUGAUAUCCAUCCCCCUUAACCUGACAUGCAUGCAGUUCCUGUAACAACUUUGGGGUCUGCUGGUGGCCUGGACGAAAGGACAGGUUGGGCUGACAACCAUCAGUCAGUCCCACUGAAAGCGCAGAGUAGACCCAGCUCUUCUGCUGCACUGCUGGAGCCAGCCGGAGAUGGUGUCUGAGGCUCUGCCAGCCAUGCUUCCCAAUGGAUGUGGCACCAACGCUUGUAAACAGCGCUGUCUUUUCAGCUGCUUCCUGGAGACUGUAACUUUUCAUAGGUGCCAGCGUUCACUCACCUCCCUCCUGGAGACGUACUGACGUGCAUGUUGGGAGUCAUCUUCAAGAUCUGCAAGUGUUUGUGGGAACACACCUCCGCCCUGCAAGGUGUCCAGUGACAAGUCCUUGUAAGGGACAAACAGGAGAGACAGAGGAGGAAACAAGAAGAAGGCAGAAGCUGAAGCGCCACAGCUCAGGUGUGUCUACCCGGAGCCGCUGGAGCAGAAUGCGAGGAGGCUUGGAGCCUUUGGAGGGGACAGCCUGGGCCACCAACUUGAUUCCAGACCCCGGGACUCUGUGCAAGAAUAAGUUAUGCUGUUUUGAGGCACCUAAUUUAUGGUUAUUUACUGGGGGUUUCAGGAAAUGAAUACAACCAUAUUGAGAUGAAGUUUAGUUAUUGGUGGGGGAAAAUUCUCCAUGAGUGUCUCAUUUUUUAAGUGAAAUAUAAUUGAUUUAUAGUUGUAAUAGUUUCAGGAGUAUAGCAAAGUGAUUAUAUAUAUAUAUAUAUAUAUAUAUAUAUAUAUUCUUUUCCAUUAUGGUUUAUUGUAAGAUAUGAAUAUAAUUCCCUGUGCUGUAUGUUAGGACCUUAACUAUCUGAUAAUCCCAAACUUCUCUUUGGUAAUCAUGUCUGUUUUCUGUAUCUGUGGCUCUAAUUUGUUUUGUAAACUAGUUCAUUUUUAUCAUUUUUUAAAUUCUAUAUAUAAGCAAUACCAUCUGAUAUUUGUCUUUAUCUGACUUACUUCAGUCAGUAAGAUAAUCUCUAGGUCCAUCCAUGUUGCUGCAUAUGGCAUGAUUUUGUUCUUUUUUAUGGCCGAGUUCUAUUCCAUAUAUUCACAUAUAUACCACAUCUUUAUCCAUUCAUCGGUCAAUGGACAUUCAGAUUGCUUCCGUGGUGAUUACCUCAGUUUUCUGUGUCUUAAAAAGAAGGCAGUGAGUGCCAUUUGUCCCGAACUUUCUUUCUGAGGGACAACCUUGGAUAGCGUUGUUGUUUUGACUGUGGGUUAAAUCUCAGCCUCUUUGCAGUUACUAACAGACGCUUUUCUGAAGUCUUCUGCAGUCAGGCUGUGACUGCCACUCGAGCUCUGCUGCCAGCCUCUGCAGACGCCUGACUUAAUUCCACCCCCUCCUUUGAGCCUCUCUAAAAUACGUGAGCACCACUUAUCAGAGAGGCAGAUCAGCUGUAAAGAGAUUAAUUUAUUAUAACAUUUUGUAUUUGUGUCCGUGAGGAAUGGGGAGUAGAGAAGAGAGAAGUUUUUGCUUUUAAAAAUCUGCUGUCUGCGAAUGGAGACGAGGCAGGUAGGAACAUGAACACGUGUUGUUAUCUUUGCAAAGUCCCGUGGAGUCAAGAGUGCUCUCGUGAGAACAAAUCACCCCUUCUUGUCCCCUCAAAUUAGACGAGGAGCUGAUUUGUCAACAACUCUUCUGCAGGCAAGAGACAUACAUUCCUCUCCUGGUGCCCUGCCAGCCUGGAGAGCUGAGAUAAGGAGCCAUACUGGCGUGUGUUGAACACUAUGAAAUGAUUACUGGCGCCCUCGGUGGUUAAAUGUCCUCAGCCCACCCUGCCAGCCGUGCUGUCGUCACAGCUCCGAGCAGGUGGGAGGAUGAGGACGAUGGGGUUGUUGAUGAGGGCUGGCUGCAGGCAGUGUGAACCAGAGGCAACUCCGCACACGAUUCUCCCUGCUCAGCGCCUCAGUCAGCUUUGGGGCUGGGGGCGGAGCCAGAGCGGCGCACUGCUUCCGCGUCAGGACCCUCCUCCCUGCCACAUCCCCUGAACCUGCAGGACCUGGUCACCCAGAGACCCACAGCCCUAUGCGUGCUGCAGCUGAAGGGUGUAUUCAGUCCAGAAAUUCACAGGAUUUAACUGAAGUAAAAGUCCAAAUCCAUUAUGAUUGUACAGUAGAAGUGACAAAUAUAUUCAAGGGGUUAGAUCCGAUAGAUGGAGUGCCUGAAGAACUGUGGACGGAAGUUCGUGAUAUUGUUUAGGAGGUGGAGAUCUAAACCAUCCCCAAGAAAAAGAAAUGCAACAAGACAAACCGUCGUCUGAGGAGGCCUUACAAAUAGCUGAGAA